rnacentral:misc_RNA from 1 species
GGCUGGAUCAUUAUCGAGCUAACCAAAAAACUCUCGCCCGACUGGGCUUGAGCUGUGGCACGAUUAUAUGCGGUGCAUUUGCUUGAUGCGCGUCAGCAUGCCACACCGACCCAACGGCUGAAGCUGGUGUCUAUUUCGAGCUGAGGGACUGUCGAUAUGCCGUGGUCCUAUUCUGGCUCGGAUGUAGCGCGUCUGUUUCGGAUGCGUAGACUCAAUGAGUGCCCGACAAGUGACACCGCCAGCGCUCUAUUUUUUUUUUCAUGAUUUUUUUCGCCUUCGGGCAAUUGAAAGACAUAUCAGUCUUACCGGUGGAUCACUCGGUUCGUGGAUCGAUGAAGAACGCAGCAAACUGCGAUAAGUAGCGUGAAUUGCAGACGCUUUGAACGUUAAACUUUCGAACGCACAUUGCGCCAUCGGAGUCCUACCCGAUGGCACAUCUGGUUGAGGGUCGUGAUCAAGAAACAGCUAGCAAAAGGCUGUAUUAGAACUAACUGGUGAAUCAUGUCGCCGACUAUCUGCUAGCAGUCGGCCGUGUUUUGCCAUCAUGCUUUAGGGGCUGCUUAUGUAGCUCGCCACACGGACGGGCAUUCCAGCUGGGCUGGCAUCCCGCCACUGGGUAUCAUACGAUAUAUAAUACUCGGUGGGUCGGAGGAUUAGGGCUGUGGAUGCUAACUGUACGUGCUUGGUAGUAACAGGGUGAAAACUCUCGUUUUCCCGACCUCAACUCAGGUGUGAUUACCCGCUGAACUUAAGCAUAUCAGUAAGCGGAGGAAAAGAAACUAACGAGGAUUCCCUUAGUAACGGCGAGUGAACGGGGAAGAGCCCAGCGCAAAAGCUCGUCGCUCUAACGGGUGACGAGCGGUGUUGCGUAUAGGAGGCGAUUCUCCUUGGUGGCUGUCGACUUAAAUUCUCCUUGACUGGGGUUCCAGAGAAGGUGAAAGGCCUGUUCAGUCGAUGGCCGCCUUGGAUUCCGUUCUCCUCGGAGUCGGGUUGUUUGGGAACGCAGCCCAAAUUUGGUGGUAAACUUCAUCUAAGGCUAAAUACGGCCACGAAACCGAUAGCAAACAAGUACCGUGAGGGAAAGUUGAAAAGUACUUUGAAGAGAGAGUUCAAGAGGACGUGAAACCGGUAGGAUGGAA